CAUAAAUGUUUUCAUAUAAUCAAAACUAUUAACUAAUUUUUGGAACACACGUAGUACAUAAUCCUUAAUGGAUUGACUGUUUCUUGAUUGAUCAUUCAGUUACCUCUGGAAUAAUGCAUUGACUGUUUAGUUCUAUCAGUUCACAUAUUUGUGCAUAUGUUCAUCUGAAUAAUGUAACAUUAUGCUUCUAGUUACACAUAAACUAAGCUCAAUCCUUUUGGUUAAUCUUGCAGGUAUCUGGAUAUUGCAAUGGAACAAACAGAGGAGUAUGUCAAUGGACAACUCAAGAACAAGUAUGGUGAUGCAUUCAUUCGAGGGAAUAAUGUUCUAUACAUCAGUACCUCAAAGAGGACUCUAGCAGAAGGGGCUUAACAAUAAAGGAAUCGAAAUAUAUAUUGGUUUGAAAGACACUUGUAUCUUUUAAUAUUAUGUAGACUGUAUUUACUUAGCAGGUGUUGCCUAACUGAAGCCUUUUUACUUCAUGUUUGUCAUGGUGAUUUAGUUGCUAUGGUUAUAUAUUAAGGCAAAACAUCAUUUUAAAAUACUUGUUGGCGUAUCUUGGCAGAACCUUUUAGCUAGUUUGGAAUUUUGAAAUAGUAGUAUUAAAUGUUAUUACUUCUA